UACGAAGGGGGCUAGCGUUGCUCGGAAUCACUGGGCGUAAAGGGUGCGUAGGCGGGUCUUUAAGUCAGGGGGGAAAUCCUGGAGCUCAACUCCAGAACUGCCUUUGAUACUGAAGAUCUUGAGUUCGGGAGAGGUGAGUGGAACUGCGAGUGUAGAGGUGAAAUUCGUAGAUAUUCGCAAGAACACCAGUGGCGAAGGCGGCUCACUGGCCCGAUACUGACGCUGAGGCACGAAAGCUAGGGGAGCGAAAGGG
rnacentral:rRNA from 1 species